GGUGAGGUGGCCGAGUGGUCGAAGGCGCACGCCUGGAACGCGUGUAGGGCGCAAGUCCUCGGAGGUUCGAAUCCUCUCCUCACCG
rfam:Candidatus Thrbacteria bacterium RIFCSPLOWO2_02_FTLL_53_10 rifcsplowo2_02_scaffold_8697, whole genome shotgun sequence.